rnacentral:lncRNA from 1 species
CGUGGUUCAAUAACCAGGGCUCCUUGUUAUUAAUAACAUUGGAGUGGUUUUGAUGAUCAUGAUCAUGAUGAUUGAUACUGUUGCGGUUACGAUGAGAAGCGACCCAUUGAAAAGCAGUCCAGCAGUCUUCAUAUGCUGCGGGAAGAAGGUGUUCUGGGGCUAGCCUGUAUUCAAUGGAGACUGCGAGUACUUGAGACUGAGAGACCAAGAUGUUGAGGUACCUGUGGUCAAUAAAUGAGAAAGCGGACUCGAAGCAGAAGGCGCUGCCGUGGAAGUAGACCAAAACGGGGAGUUUUUGAUGGGGUUGGGCGAGUUUUGGGAGGUAGAGGCGAGCAGAUAUGGCGGGGUUUCGAGAGAUGGUUACGUCUUUUGACGAGACCCCGAAUUGAGGAUCCGGGUCAAGCGUUGGAGGCACGUAGGGUGAAUCCAUCAUCCGCUCAACCGAGCCAUCUUUGUAGACUCUGAUCAGUGGGAGGAGCUCUUUGGCUACUUCUUUGUUUGUUGAAGCAGCCAUUGGAAUUUUUGAGAGAGAUUACUGAAUUGGUUUGGAAAUUGCGGAAUUACUUGACAGGAUAUAGCGAAGAAAUGGCCCGAAUUGGUGCGUGGGACACAGUUGAGGUGACGAAGACCCAUUUCUGUUCUGAUUGCAAUCCAACUUAACAUGUCCAGACUAACAGUGCCACACAUUGACUUUACGCGUCUAGAGCACUGUGCGUGGGACACAGUUGAAGGCAGAAUCUUAUUUUGGAUUACAUUACGUUGAAUGAAAAUAAUCAUAAUUAAUUAAACUUUUAACAGUUACCGGGCACUAUUUUUUUUUCCUUUCAUAAAAGUCAACAAGAAAAGGAAUCAUGUGGAACUUUCAACUAUUAUUUUAUUUAAUAUAUAUGAAUAUCGAUGUUAUCUUUUUAACAAAAAAAAAAUAUCGAAGUUAUCUUAAUUAUUUGAUAUUAUGGCUUAAAGGCGUUUGACCAUGAAAAUAAGACAAAAUAAAAUUUAAAAAGAAACAUAAUGAUAACGAGCUUCAAGGUCACACAAACAUUGAACACGAAGAGAAGACUUUGAAUGAAAUAAUAGUCUACUGGGCCGGCGGCUUAGAGUGUGCAGCACGUGCAUGAACAUGAUUCGAUUGAUUGGAUCAACGACACAACGCCUUUUGUGAAGCCCAGUUAAGUCUAGCUUCGGUGCCACUUCGGCCUUGGCCGAAGGUGGGCUGCUGCCCUCACAAGCAUUGUGAGGGCAGCGAUUUUAGCCCCCACAAAAGUAUUGUGGGGGCUAAAUAUUUUUUAUAUUUUUAAAAAAUUAUUUUUUUUUGUGAAAUACGAGUGGAGUAUGGAUAUUUUUUUCUUGUGAGGGGUUAUUUGUUUGGGCAUGUACUUCAUAGAAUUCAAUGUCAUAAUAUAAGUAUUAAUUAUGUAUAUCUGAUUGUAAAUAUCAAUAUAAUAUCUCUGCUACAAUAACAGUUGUUGUAAAUAUCUGUGUAAUGCAGUAAUCUGAUGAUUAAUCAGUAUUCAAAAAAAAAAAAAGUCUAGCUUCGGUUGAUUGGAUCGAAUAUUUCACCUAUUUGUUGUUAUUAUUCCUGUUAUUAGGUGUGAAAAAUUGGAUGAAAAUUGCUAAACUCGGCAUUCGUAAACUAAAAUAAAAAAACCAAAUUAAAAAUCUAGACGAAUGGAAACAAGUUACCAACGUACGCAUGUGAUGCCUUUACUUUUCUGUAAUCUAAAAAAUUUGUUGAUUGCUGUGCCUUUAAUUUACUUUCUUUAAUUACAAAAAUUCCUCUCUUGAGACAAGUGAAGAAUCUGCAAAUUUUAAAACCACCGACACCACCUGCUGCCGCCACAAUCAUCAGCCUUCACACCCGCAGCCGACAGUGCUCUGUGGUGACGGCGGAAGCUUGCUGAUAUUGAAAGCUUGGUUUGAUAAGAGAACGAAUCAAAUGAGUUGGCGCUCGGAUGUCGUUAAAGUUUCAAGUAAUUUAUUGAUUCCGUCCAAAAGACACUACGUGUCACUCACUUUUAAUUACUGAGAAAACCGAUUUUUUAAAAGUUUUUUGUUUAAAAAACCGAACUUAACCGUUUUAAAACAUAUAGAAGGCCCAAUCUAGCCUAACAAAAUAGUUCGGUUCCGAAUUUACUCAGUCCACCCUUUUAAACCAAUGCAUGUGACAAUUUUAUAGAUACUUUAUGAAAAUUUUAAUAAUUUGUUGUCUCAAUCUUAUAAAUUGUUGGGCGCAUCAUAUUUAGCUGCAAAUAGCAAAUCCUAAAUAUAUCAUAUUUGGUUAUAGAAUUUAGAAUCUUCUUACUUUCUUAAUACAGUAUAAGGAAGAUAUAACAUUUUCUUUUUUAUAUAAAGCAUAACUAACAAUGGAUGUAAGCAAUAUCGAAGAGUACUAUUUCUUCAUUAAGCAAACAAUGAGGUAUUUCAAAAUAUCUCCUACUAAUUGAGCAAGAGUUCUUAUAAUUUCUUCCAAAAGAGAAUGAAUCAAAUGAGUUGAUAAGAAGAGAACGAAUCAAAUGAGUUGGCGCUCGGAUUUCAUUGUUAAAGUCUCAAGUAAUUUACCGAUUCCGUCCAAAAGACACCACGUGUCGCUCACUUUUAGUUAUUGGAAAAACUGUUUUUUUUUUUUGUUUUAAAAAACCGAACUGAACUGUUUUAAAAUAUAGAGAGUGCCUGAUCUAGUCUAACAAAACGGUUCGGUUUCGAGUUUACUCGAUCCACCCUUGUAACCGGUGCAUGUGACAAUUUUAUAGAUACUCUAUGAAAAUUGAAAAAAAAAAUUGAAUAGGUAGAAUAAACUAUAAAGUGUGUGUGUGUUUGUGUGUAUCUCGUGAUUUUAAUCGCGUAUAUGAAAAUUCAAUAAUUUUUACAAUUUUAUUAAAUAAAGAUGAAAUUUUUGACAUUUUGUUUUACUUCUCAUAGUAACUAAUUUUUUACAAGACAUAUAAUCUAGUUUACUAUAUUAAAAUUUUAUUAAUUUAUUGUCUCAACCUUAUAAAUUGUCGAACGCAUCAUAUUUAGUUGCAAAUAGCAAAUACUAAAUAUAUCAUAUUUGGUUAUAGAAUUUAGAAUCUUCUUACUUUCUUAAUAUAGUAUGAGGAAGAUAUUACAUUAUCUUUUUUAUAUAAGGCAUAACUAACGGUGGAUGUAAGCAGUAUCGAAGUGUACUAUUUCUUAAUUAAGCAAACAAUGAGGUAUUUCAAACUAUCUUCUACUAAUUGAGAAAGAGUUCUUAUAAUUUCUUCCCGUUUGAAUCAUCUCGCUGUUUGUUAUCCAUUCGACAUGAUUAUGACUUUAGCAUAAAUAUAAUGAAUCUUUGACUAACGAAUAAUACUUUGUAACUAGUACUUGUAGCACUGAGAGGACACGUGUUUUUUUCUAAGCUUUAAUUAGUUAGUCAAACCAUUUUUCAAAUUCAAUUACAUUUUUAGCCUAAUUAUCAUUGGAAAUACUCAAUAAAUUGGAUAAUCAUGUUACAUGCUAAAAUAAAAACUAUAAUUAUUUAUUUAAUUUCUAUAUUUUACAAGAAAUUCAACAGCGGAAAUGAUGCUUGAAGAUGGUAAACUCGGCUCAAAGAAAGUGAAGAUUGUGGGAAAGCCCUCAGACAUGAACUUGCUUUUUUCAUAUCUUUUUGGUUGAUGAAGAUCAUAUCAACUGCAAAAUUCAAUCGACGAUUUUGAAAUCAUAUGAAUCAAAGUGGUUAAAAUAGAAAACUGCAGUUGAUUUUUUUUUUUUUUGGACGUCACUUGUUUUAUUUUCUUUAGGGAAAUUUUAUUAUAAAAUAAUAUUUUAUAUUUACUUAUUUUGAUAAAUUCAUGAUAUUUAGGGUUAAUAUAAAAAAGGAUCAAAACCAUAAUUUUAUUCAUUCAACCUUUUUAAUUAAAUUUUCAUUAUAUAGAAACUUAGUUUCUCUUUAUCUAUCAAUUUUUUUGUUUCCACAUCGUCAAAGUCAUAAUGAAGCCGAUGUUCAACAUUAAAAUUUGUUAUCAGCCAGCCAUAUGAAAUGCGAGAAAAUAUUAAUGCUAUUUGAUAAAUGAUCUCGAUAUCUUGAUUCUUGUAGUUCUAACAAAUUAAAAUUUAUCGAAGAAAAAAUCGAACACAUUACAUGAUUAGAUGCAUCUAAGUAUUCCUAGAGCUGGCAUAAUAAGAUACGAAUCUGAUCGUACAUUACAUAAUAUGAAAUGCAAAGCCCGGGUCCCUUUUUUUAGUGUAUGCGGUCCGGGUAAAACUCGGACCGGAUUGGCCGGGUCCGGUCCGGGCGGGUUUUGUUUACACCCCUAAAUUCUAGAUCCGGAGUUUGCACGAUCAUUCUUCUUGAAAUGAAUUUAUCAUUAUCGCAUGUUUACAUUUUGAAGUGUUUCAAGGUGUAAUUAAAGUAUCCUCGCCUUAGGCUCAAGAUAUUAGAAGAGGGAAGACGAUAUGAGCGGAUCAAGGGAAGAAUCUCCCGAUUGGCUGCGUUCUUUCCAGGUAUAAUUCAUUUUAAUUUCUAAAUUUCUCAAUCUCUCAAAAAAUUUGAAAAGAUGGAUAUAUGUUCAAUGGAUCACACCUACCAAGUGAAAGUAUUUUGUUUUUUCUUUCAAGUUAGUCUCACAAAAAUUAUUUUUGGUGUCGCUGCUGAGCAUGAUUACAUAUUUGCUCGGCCACUGAUUAAAUUUACUUGUAUGAUCAGGCUCCAACUCAUUCUGUAUUGACGUUAUCAUCUGAUUCUGAUUCUGAUUCUUCUCACAAUGGUACAUCCUCAAUGGAGGACGAGAUUGAUAAUGGAUGCACUUCGCCUCAAAUUUUCUGCCGGGGUUUUAGCAAUAACAGCUUAACUACAUUGUUUUGUUCUUUGAUAAUAAUUUAGGGAACGGAGAUGGUGGGAAAAAUAUUGCCGAGCUGACAUUUGAGAAACAUAUGGAGCCUUUUGUAAGAAUCUCUGUGCCAUCACUGCUUGGGUAUUCUUCCAUCUGAUAAUUGCCUUAGGCCUUUUUGGUAUUGAGUAAAUUAUUUGGUAAAUACUAGCUAUUAUAGUUUGGAAGCUGAGUUGAUUUGACUGGACAAUUCUAUGAUAACAAACCUAUAUAAUAUCUUUACUAUUUUUGUCAAAUUAUUAUUAGAAAAUCAUAUUUACUAUAUACUAUCAAUUUUUAUUUUAUAGUCACUUUUUUUUUUCACAGCAGUUGUAGCUUUUAGCUAUUGUAACUUAAAAACUACAGCACCACAAUACUGAAUAAGGUCUUAGAUAUAGAGGAAUUUGCUAAGUUCCUUAUCAUGGUUGUCUUUUGACGGUCUAUUAUAGAAGGUCAUCAUUCAAAAUACCAUAAAUAAAUAAAUAAAUAAAAAUAUUUCUAUUUUGAUUAUCUCCAAAGAGCUUUCAGCCUCUUGAGCAAUUAAUUCAAGUGACAAAAAUUGGUACUUUUCUAGAUAACUCUUUUCAUCAAAACACGAGGACCUUAGUCAGUCACGAAAAUAUUUGGUCACUGUUGUCUUAAUAAUAAAAGCAACUCUCAUGCAAAUAAGCAAAUUUUAAUUUAUUUAUUUAAUUAUUUUGUGUGUGUAUGUGUCCUGCAAGUGCUCUAGUUUUGAGAAUUUAUCAAACAGUUGUUGCCUGCUUAAUAUUUUUUUACCAAUGCAUUUCAGUGGGAACAUUAUAAGUUUUAUAAUGAAUUUCAACUAUUUCUCCAAGAAGAUGGAAGGAAAUUGGUAUUUGUGGAAAAUUAAACUCAUUCACUCUGGUGGGGAACCUUUUGUGUGUUAGGAUUUUAUUGAUGUAAUUGAAGCUGAAAACUUGGAGGGCCUGAUUCUGGUCCUUUGUUCAUAUUCGAAUGCAAAUUUGUGGCAGAGGCAAACUGAUUUAGGAUGCACAAACUUUGAUUGGAUUGUACUAAUAAAAAACUCUUAGUUCUUCCAGGCAAAAGCUUCUUUUGACUAUUAAGAUACUGCUUUGGCUUUUUCUGUGGUUAAUUUUAGGCUUAUAUGGAGCUCAUAAUUGUAUGUUACUGUAGGGGUAGAUAAAUUUUUAAGGGUCUUACUGGUGCUCCAAAAUAAGAAAGUUGUUAGAUUAUUGUUAGAUUAUCCCUGUUGGUUAUAUUUGAGCUUAUAAAGAAAGUCGUCUGAUUUGACAUUCUUGUGAGUUUAUGGUCAAGAAAUCUAAUGGAAUGCUAGGCACCUCGUUUGAAAUUUGCCACUGACUUAACUGGAACUAGCGAGCAAGUGUCAAUGUGCUUUUGGGUGCUUAGUUCUUACAUUUGCAACUAGUUAAAUUUAACAUGGAAUUUAUGCUUCUUCAAACACUAUUACAAUCUUCAUAAGGCUGCCUCAAAAAAUAUGUGGUAUGGAACUCCUUGAAAUACAUUGGAUUAUUGGUUUAUUUAACGUGUUCAGAUAUCUUGAACCUCUUCAGAUUGUGGUGGAAACAUUAGAAACAUAUGUUGAGCUUGCUAUCUUGUGUCGAUUGAUGACAACUUCAUUUAUUGUUGAGCAGGCACCAAAAAGUUCAAUUUUGGCAUUAUCAUCAGAUUCUGAGUCAUGCCAGAAUAGUAGCCUCUUAAGGGAGGAGAAAGCAUUUCAGUUCCAAGAGAAAGAAAUGAACGAGGAUGCAGCUCUGACUGGUAGAGAAGAAAAGACUUCAGUUAAGAAGCUUUCAAAAGAAAAGUCUCCUAAGAAAGGGCUAAAAUCACCAAAGAAAGAAAAGGAUGUAGUUAAUAAUGUGAAAAGAAAAGGUAUGAAGUCUAUGCGAUGGUGACAGAUUCUAAUUUGAAAGAUUGAUAGUUAAUCAGGAUAUUGUCUUAAAUCUGAAUCUUUUGUGGACAGAAAAUGGACUGUUUUCAUUUCACCAAAAAAGAAAUUAAAAAAUAAAAGGUACUUUAUUUGGAGUUCUUAUGCAUGUCGGUUUAUAAUGGUGUAGGAAACAAUGACCAUGAAGAUGCUGAGGAAGACAUAGCGGAGAAGCGUAGUAUGCUUAAUGUGAGAAUUUUAUAGUAGCAGCUGUGACGGUUGCUCCUCUAAUCUGUCUUAUUCAACUCAUAGUUUUAUUAUUUUCAGGUCUCUACCUCGACAUUGCCUUUGGUGAUGUCAGAGAAACUCCAACGUACUAAGGUAGCACAUCUUGUUUAGAUUUUGGCUUCCUUUUAUCUGCCUUUUCUUUUGUGCUUGAUUCACUAGUCUCAAACUUUCCCAUAAUAAUUUCCUAGUUAGACAUGAAAUGUAUCUUUAUGCUGCAGAAAUUGUUACUUUUGCUGAUGUUUAAAUUGCAAUUCUUCAACGGAUGAGAGAGGAGGAUUUUCUUGCAAAUAGUGCUGAUGGAUGCUUAUAAAAAUGACGGCCUUUGGUGCUUUUUUGCCCAACUAAUUAAUCUUAUUAGAUACUUAGGAGUAUCAUCAGAUGCUAGUAAACUAAUUUCUCUUUUACUAGAACAUGCAAGACUGCAUCAAAUACUUUUUCUCAAUGUCUAUCUCUCGGGUGUUCAGGUAUAUGUAGAUAAAAAACUGCGGAUUUGUUUCUGGUUUUCGUGACUGAAUUUUUUGAUAUAUUGUUUGUCUCUGCAUGUUCUCUUUUGUGUUUGUCUCUGCAUGUACACAUCUAGCAUACAUGUAAUGAAUAGAAGCUUUGUUGUUUAUGCAGGCACUUGUGGAGUGUGAAGGGGAGUCUGUAGAUCUGAGUGGCGAUAUGGGGGCUGUUGGAAGAAUACUAGUUCCUGGUACUGAUGAGGGAAACCAUGAAAUGUUCUUGGACUUAAAAGGCAUGUUUUUUUUCUAGUUCAAUUUUUUUUUAAUUCAUAAAUUUUAAAAUGAUCUCUCUGUCUUUUUCUUUUUAAAAUAAGAACAGAUAAUCAUCCCUAUUUUAUGUAAGGCAGGACUGUAAACUCACAUGGUUUAAAAUUGAAUUAAGUUUACCAGCAUUGGACGCAUUUAGCAAUAUACAUUUUUGCUCCUGUUUUAUUUUUAUUAUUUUUGGGGUCUUGCUUACCUCCUGUUGUAUUGUUUUCCCCAUGUCUUGUCUACCUGCUCAGCUGCUCCCUUGUUGUUUCCGCUUUAUUGUUUGUUUAUAUAAAAAUUACGCUUUCAAGGUCUACUUUGACAUGUAUUCCUGAUUGUUGAUUAUUUAUUUGCAUUCUCGGUCUGCUGUUGACUGGUUUAGUGUUUUUUCACUCUCAGGAACCAUAUACAAAACAACAUUAGUUCCUUCCAGGACAUUUUGCAUUGUACGUUAUCAAUCUCCUUUGAAAUUCCUCAAAUUGGAUAUUAUUUCACCUACUCAAAAGAAAUGGCGAUGAUAAUAAUAGCAUGAUAAUAAUAAUAAUUAAAUCCCCUUUCCAUUUUCUCUGUUUCAAUUAUGGUCCAUAAAAAGUUAAUUUUUGCUGAGAUAGUAAGAUUGUUUAAUAACUUAGCUUUCUUUCUCUUCAGGUUAGCUUUGGCCACUCAGAGGCUAAGGUUUGUUGCGAGUCCUCUCCUUUUUCAUUUAUACUUUUGGAUUUUCCUAUUUUAAUUUUAUUAUUAUCCUUUUGUCUGUCAUAUAUAUUUUUCUUCCUCAUUAGUGAUUUUCCAAAUAGUUUAUGACUUUGAUAUUGCUAAGACAACCGCGGUACUGUGAUAAAUUUAAUCCAACUUAUUGACAUAAUUUUAUAUUUCUUGAUCAGAUAGAGGCCAUCAUGAAUGACUUUAUUCAGCUGAAGCCACAGUCUAAUGUUUAUGAAGCUGAGACUAUGGUUGAAGGUCAAGAUUUUAUCACACUUUCUCUAGAUGCGCACACACGCACUCAUAUAUGUGCAUUUACUCGAUUACCCUAAUGUUUGUCUUAGAUUCAUCCAGAUAAACCAUUUUCAAAAGUUCAUUGAGGACCCAGAAGUUUCACUGUUUUAUCAUUAAAAUAGUUCAAAACAAAUUAAUCACUCGGAUACAUGUUCAUUUUAAAACUUAUCCCUUAAUAUCCCGCUAAAUAAUAGGAGUUGGUUAAACUUAUUGUCAGACACAUAUCUGGCUAAAAUCCAAUGUUUUUCCCCCAUUUUUUCGUUUCUCUAAGAUGGUGUGUGAAAAUGAUUGCUUUACUAAUUCUUAAAUCAAAAUGUAAUUGAUAAAAGAACAUUGCUCUAAAUUGAAAAAAUUGCCCCAGGUAUUUGAAUUAUUUAUUAAAAUUGGCAUUUAGGCAAUUGGACUUAUAACAACUAUAUGUUUUGUACAUUUAAAUGUGCAUGCUGACAACCACUUCACUUCUUAUUAUAUCUAUGUCCUAUUGAGAUCUUACCUUCUUCCUCACAAUUCAUGAAUGCUGGUCCACUCACAAUGUGUGAACAUUGCAAUAGAAAAUUUAUUGAAGCAUCUGAACUCAACUAGUAUCAGUGACGGUGGGAUUAUUAAGCUAAAAAUUUUAGAGUCAAUUAAACUUUUAAACUAAGGGGUUCUCAAGUAAUAGACUUUGGAAGUAAUCUAGAGGUUGACUUAAAGUUUUAAACUAAAGGGUGCAUAAUUUUUUUUUUUUGGGGGGGGGGGGGGGGGAGAUUGGGCCAAACUCAUAUGAAAGGUGUCUAGAACUUUUUCAUUGUUUAAAUGACAAAAGUACCCAGGGAUUGUUUUCUUGGUUAUCAAUUUUCCUUUUUUUUUAUAAAUUGCUUUAACAUAUUUUCAUCUAAAUAGAAAAGUGUAGAUAAACUUCCCUGUUAUUUAUUGGAAUGAGAAUAGGUCUGAACUGUUGUCAUUAUUUCCUCUCGCAAAAUAUUAAGUUUAUUUGCUUUUUACCACAUACAAACGUGUGUAUAUGUAAACUGAAUUAUCAUAAACUACAAUAAAAUUGAUUAACGUGUUUCUAAUUUAGAAUAUUAAAGGAUUGUAUUCACUUGAACAUGAUUUAUUUUUGAUAAAAUACUAUCUUAUUUACAUUUGUUAAGAUGUUUAUAAUAAAUUUAACAUUUAAAAUUUGUAAGGAUGCAAUUAUAAAAGUAUAGUGUUCAGAAACUAACAACUUCAUACUCAUUAUUAGAGAUUCAAACUAAAAACCAAGCAUGUCAUUCAAAUUCAGAAAUUUAGCUCUUUUUAGAAUUCAGAUUUAAAAAAUAAAAUAAAAUUGCCACUGUAAUGACUAAUUUUCCAAAAGGGUUAUCUUGGUGAAUUUGAAUGAAGCAUGGGUGCCUGAGUGAAAUUGAGGACAUUUAUACAGAAAAUGUCUUGUUAUGGCAAUUGUGGUUGUGUAUCAUUAUUUGAUAUGUCCACUUCUAAUCGACAUUUGUCCUUCACGUUCAUUGAUUUCAUUUGAGCAGGAACAUUGGAUGGUUUCUUAUUUGAUUCGGAAGAUGAAUCUGACAAGCUUGCUAAAGCUAUGCCUCAUCAAAUUGAUCAAAAUGAUGGCAUUGAAGAACAAACAAAUGAGAAGACCAAAGUGAAAUCUGUAAGUUUCUGGACCCUUUCAAAUAGUUACUAAUGCAUCUAUUAUGAAUCCACAACUUAUAAUCUUUUGCAUUGUGUUAUUGUAUGAAUUUUUUAAAAGCAGGGGCCUGCUGGAAAGAGAGGUACGAGUGCUGGAGGACCGCCACAGCCACCAAAGAGAGCAAGAAAGAGAACUAUAGUUUCAAAGAAAGCUAAGGCGAAGAAAUGAGGCAUACAAUGUCUGUUUUAUGUUUCUUAUAUCCUGCUAAUGCUAUGGCUGUAUUAGUCAGAUGUUAGUUAUUUAGGUGAAAUGAAUCAAGAGUAGAAAUCAGAGGUUAAUAAUUUCAGGGGGAUUGUUUUUUGUCAAGCAGCUUAAAUGUGAAAAGAGUAACAUGUGAGGUUUUCGCAAUUCCAAUUAUGAUGGAUUUUCUGUUCGACACAAUGAUGCUGUGCCUACUUUACUUAUAGGCGUGCUUGUUGUGAAACAUGUUUCAAAAUGUUUGGACCAUCUGUAUUUUAUUAAAUUUUGGUUGACUCACUGUGAAAACUGCAAAUAUGGUAUUUCAAUUAAAUAAAUAAAUAAUGUGUGCAUUAUUCCAUAUUCUUCCAAGAUUUGACAGAACUCUAGACGUAUGAAAUCACAGUGAACUGCUAGACAUGGACUUUGUAAAAAUUGUGUGUUACAUAAUCAGCUCAGUACCAAUUGGAAUCUUUAAGUUGUAUUUUUUCUCGGCCUUCAAUUUAUUUGCACUUGCCAUAUUAAGUAAGGCUAAUUAGUUAGACCAAUACAACGUAUAUAAACCGGUCAGAGAACCAAAACCAGGAAAAUGAAAAUUGACACUUUAAGGGGCUGCAGGUGGAGGUUAUUCGAUGAGGAAACCAUCUGUUGAGCCUUGGUACUGCUGGGAUCUUGAAUUGAUGGUGGUGAAAGUGAACCGUUCGAUCCCUUGAACCUGUGUACAAAAAGAGAUGAGGUUGUUACGGUCUGAGAAUGAAUGCAGUUGCCAAAAGCUAUAAAAUCGAGCGAAAGAAUCCAUCGGAAUAGGAUGCAUACCCACGGCUGCUAGUGUUAGGGCAGAAUAUAAUAGCAUAAUCAUAUGCCUUGCAUGUGAAAAUGCUUGUCCCAUCGUCAAAGGCAUAGCUAUAAGCCCUUGGACAAGCUCGCUUAAAAAUUGAUGAAUAAAAGGAGGGGCUGCAUGUGGUUGGAUUAGCAAACUCCCCGCUACAGCAGUAUUGAUCUAAUCCAAAUGCUUCACAUGCACUCUUACAUGCAAUCACUUCCCCUUCCCUUGUACCUUCUCCACCCACCACUUGAAGUUCUUUUGGGCAACCUGAUUACAAGUGAUUUUAAUUCGGUCAUUUUUCAAUAUUGCUGACUGAAAAAUGUUAGAUCAAGUUGAUGAAAAUCGAAAUCUUACCCAUGUUGAUAUCUGAAGCGCAGCCUGUGGCGUUACAAGCACCAUAAACCCCACGUGGUUCAGCAACAAGAGGGAGGUUGUAGCCGUCAACAAUGCUGACAUCAUAAAAAUCUUUGUCAUUGCCCUUGCCGAGGGUUAUUUCGAAGAGUGAUGCAGGUGGGGUAGCACCACUACCAUCACAUUGGAGUCUUCCUCCACAGUCCCCAGUUUGACAAGAUCCAACUCCAGACUCGUCAAAACUGCAUCCUGUUCUUGCCCAAAUCCGACCAGACCACCCCGGAACAGAUGGAAUUCUUACGCUUUGCCCAGAUUCCAACUGGAAGCCGGUUGUUAGAAGCUGAGGGGUCCCUGAACCAGCAAGUGUACCAGGCCAUAUGGUGUAUGGGCAGUUAUUUGUUAUGGUGAAUGUAGAAGCGUGAGAGGGUAAGAAGAAGAGAGAACCGAAAAUAAAAAAGGCAGCAAGGAAUGGCCAUGACGUUAUUGUCAGCAUUGGAUUGGCAGCAAGUUUUCAGAAGCAAAUUUUUAAGUGGCAGUUUGGGAUGGAGAUGCAUUGAUCCCUAGCUACAUUUACAUAAGAUUGUAGGUUUAGGAUUCUGCCUGUGCUAAAGGGCUACGUUGCCGCAAGAUGACCUUUUUGGGUUUAGUACAUUUCUUUUCAUCUUGGAUGGCCUCUUUGAGAAGCAAUUCCUUUCUUUAGCCGCAGCCACUGCAUAAAGGCAUGACCCAAGAUAGGUACCCGCCAGCAAAAGAAACAUUACAGUUUCUUGAUUGAUUAGAAAGGGGAGCAUUUGCGAGUUAACUUUUCAUUCCUUGCCAAAAAGAAAAAAAAGGCAAUACUUGUUUAUCUUUUGAAUUUUAAAGAUUUAAGAAAAACAUAUAAGUGAACAUAAUCUUUCUGCAUAUAAAAAUUUAAGCAUCUCCUUUUUCAUAAAUCUCAUCAUUGACUAUCUUUGAAUUUGGAGGAAAAAUCUCACUGAUAACACAUCAUUUUUCGCUGUUUGUGGCUAUUUCAAGAAGUGGGAGACACGCUGGUUAACGAAACUUGAAGAAGAAUCAUAGAUGCAAUCAGGUGCCUGUUAGGAAUUUAAUUCGAUCCAUGCUUUCAAAUUAGACUUUCGGUAAACUCUUUCGAAGGUCGAUUUGUUGUGGCGGGAAUUUGAUGUGCGAACGUGUCGAAAUCUGAUUGGAUGUGUUUUGGUUUGGGCCGGACUGUUCUUGCUUAAAAAAGGAAAAAGGACAUUCAACCCCCCAACGUUUAAGAAAAGGGACAAAAAACUCCUCAACGUUUUAAAAAGGACUUAUAAUCCUCUUUCCGUUAACAAACACUGUUUGUUUUAACAGUAAAUUUAUUUUUAAUUUUUAAUUACUAUUAUACCCUUAUAAUAAAUAUAAAUUAAUAUAUUGAUUUGAGACAUGUCACAAUUAAUAAUUUUUUUAAAACUAAAAAUUGAGAUACAAUUAUAUUUUUGCCCAAAUUAUUUGCUAUAAAUUAUACCUUUCUAAUGAUCAAACCUUUCAUAUGUGAUUAUUACUAAUAAAACGAAAUUUGAUUAAACUCUUUUUCUUUGAGGAAUCAAAACCAUAUUAUUAUUGUUAGAAAGGUAUAAUUUAUAGUAAAUAAUUUGGGCAAAAAAAUAAUUGUAUCUCAAUUUUAAGGUUUUAAAAAAUUAUUAAUUGUGAUAUAUCUUAAAUUAAUAUAUUAAUUUAUAUUUAUUAUAAGGGUAUAAUAGUAAUUAAAAAUUAAAAAUAAAUUUACUGUCAAACAAACGGUGUUUGUUAACGGAAAGGGGGUUAUAAGUCAUUUUUGAAACGUUGAGGGGUUUUUUGUCCCUUUUCCUAAACGUUGGGGGGUUGAAUGUCCUUUUCCCCUUAAAAAAUUCCUCGCGGAUAAGAUUAAACCCGAUUAAUCUUUACAGCGGAUGGCUUACUAAUAAGAAAAUGGUUUGAGAUGUUUGUAUUUUCAAAAUUAUUUUCAAUACUCAUACUUUUAUAAAAUUAUUUAUUAUAAAAAUGGCCAAGCAAUAAAUUAUUACUGAAGACAAUCUACUCUAAGUAAAUAUAACAUUAUUUACUCCAAACACCACACACUUGUUUAAAAAUUCAUAAUUUUAAAAUAAAGCAAUCUCUUACAUUUUCCAAAGAAAGAUUUUAAUAAAAAAAAAUGGAUUUCGACGCAACUGAGUCAUCACAACAAGAUUAAUUUCUUUAGUUUUGUCUUGAUUCAAAUCCAACAUCAAUCAACUCAAUUCUAAUUCAUUAUUUAACCCUCUACUUUUCUCUUUGUAGGCUCACAUCAAUAUGAAUAUCAUCGCCAAAUCUUUAAGAAUCAGUCAGUUGUCCGACAAAUCGGACAAUUAGGAUUCUUCAAAAGCCAUGAAUCAACCAUUGAGAAUGAAAGCUAUGGUUACGUAUAGGUAGCAAUAUUAAUACAUACUCGUCAUCUUGGUUGAAGUUGUCCAAGCUAACCGCACAUUGAUACUUCAUUUGCUCUUUGCUAAAUAAUAAUAGCAAGGCUUCUAGUAAAUUUCAAUUUAAAAAAAAAAGGGUGUAACCAAUUAUUCUUUUAAAUUUGCAGAAUAUUUUUAUGUGUGUGCAUAAUAGAUAAAGAUAACUAAUUUAAAAUUUAAGUGAUGAUAUUUUUAGGCUUUUUAAAGAUUGUAAAUUAUAAAAGAUAAUUUUUAAAAUUAAUGGAUGAAUGUAUAAAGUAAUAGAGUGUUCUGAGCAUUUUAUAGAAUGCAAAUAAUCUCACUCUUUGAAGAUCUUAUAUGUUUCCAUAUGAUAGGUUUAAUAAGUAAUUUGUUUGUUUCAAAUAGUCUCUCCUUCGAUAUAAUUAUCUCAUAAGUUAUUUUCAUAAUUAAGUUAUUUAAUAACAAAAUUUAUUCUUUUAUGUUAUACAUUACUGAAAAUGACAAAUAAUAUUAUUUUGAAAAAUAGUUAGUGGUCACUUUUCCAUAGCUGAUGAUACAAACAAAGAUGUAAAUUAAAUGAUGAAGAGUAUAGUGCAAUGAAAAUGAGGUUGGGCAUCCAAUGGGGGAAGACCAUCCUAACUAAGGAUGGCAAUUGGCUAGGUCAAGAUCGGACUUUACUAUAACUGAAGUAAAGGGCUUGAGCCUAAAAAAGCUCGGACCUUUGAAUUUUGGGUCGAGGUAACUUGACUCAAUUUGAGUUAAGAUCAAGCUCUGGUGCCAUUAUUUUUUUAAUAUUUUUUAUUUUGCUAAAUAAAUAUUUUAAAUUUAAAAAAAAUGAGCAUAAUCUCCCCUAAUGUAUGAAAAUUUAAAAGUAAGAACAACAAAUGAAAAAUAACAGCAAGAACAGCAAUUAAAAAAAAAAAAUCCAAAGCUACAGUUAAAACAACAAUCAAAAUAACAAGGGGCCUCAGACAUCAAAGACCGAUAAGAACAUCCAAUGAAAAUAAGAAGGAACCUUAGAUAGGGUGGACUGCGGCCCAGCGGCGGUGUGGCUAAUUUUGGUGGCUGGUUUGUUUAUUUUGUUGGCUGGUUGGCUACCAGUAGCACAGCUGUCGUGGCGUGAGUUCGUGGCUGGUUGGUUGGUUGGCAGUACAAAAGAACUUUUGGUGAAGAAUUUAAAAUUGGCAGAAAAUUACUAUUUUUGUGAAUAUACCAAAAAUUGGCAGUACAUUGUAAAUUAACAAAGGAGCAUAUUGUUAACAAGAACUUCUGCAGCUCAAGUAAAUGUACAUUGUACUCUUUUUUCUUUGACCAAAUUUUAUGCUAUUAAGUUUUAUUGACAAGGUUUUAACGAAGUAGUAUCAAAGUACAUCUGGCUCCACUUCUUAUGAGAAUUAAAUGUAACCUAAGUGGGGAGUUUAAGGAGUCUCACAACUAUGGCCAUUUCAUUAUUUUGCUUUUGUAAAGACUUUCUAUACUAGAUCUUUAUUAAAGUCCCUAAAUGGUGAAGUUCAAAGGAAAAUGCUGUAGACUUGGUGAACUCUCACCAUUUCCAAUAGUCCCACAUCGAAAAUGUAAUCCCCCCACCCAGGCUUUUGAUUUUUCCUACAAGAAUGCUUCAUUUCCUUCUGCUUAGUGCCUUCUAGGCUCACAGCUUGUAGGGGCAUUUUGAUAUCCAACACCCAAACAGGUAAUUCUUCAAGAAGAUUUGUAGAUUUGUGAGAUUUGUCAUUUUUUAAAACCUUGUUAAUGAUAAGAAAAAGAAAAAGUAUCAUAAUAUAAAUAUGAAAUAUGUAAAAAUAAAAAAUAAAAAAAAUUAUGAAAUAUGCAAAAAUCUUAUGCAUGUACUUAUGGUUCUAACUAAAUCAUAACUUAGAAUUUCAAGUUUUGAUUUUUAAUGAGGCUAGAACAUUAGGUUCUCACCCCCUCAUUUGUGUUGUAAACUUUAGACUAUAACAAUAACAUUCAAAGACAAAUGUACGAAAUAACAAAUCUUAAUUUAUUAAAAUUAAAAUAACUUGAUGAGCAGUUAAACCAUCCACAUAAACAAAUAGAUUAAACUAGCCAUAUUGACAGAAUAAUAACAUAUUAACAAUAUAAUAACAAUAUAGGCAAUAGUAUAGAACUAGCCAUAUAAAUUAAAAAUUGUUACAAAUAGUAAACAAUUAAAUUAACAGCAUCAACUAACAACAUCAAAACAUAAUAAUAAAGCAUAAAAAAACACAAGUGGUAAAAGUUAAACUAGUCAUGUCAAAUCAACUAUCAUGCUAAAAUUGUGCUAUAAAUUAAAUAGAUAAAUAAAAUUUUUAGACUAAACAAAAUACUUUAAACACCUUGUUAUUAGGCUUAUAAGAAGCCAAUUUUUAUUCACACCAAAACAAUCCAAUGAAUCACAUUUUUCGAUGUGGGAUUGUUGCAAGUGCUGAGAGUUUAUGAAAUCUACAACACUCAAUACAUAAUGCCCAUGAAAAUCAAACCUAAAAAAUCAAAGCCGCCAAGUCUCAAGCAUAGAGGUUAAAUUCAAUAAUUUUGAGUCGAUACAAGAAAUAAAGUACCUGAACUUCAUAGAAAUGUAUACAUUAAGCACCUCCAUGAUACCCAAUAAUUUUUGCACUUCAAUGAUAAAACCUUGAAAAACUUUGGCUACUCUUUCUCUUUAAUCUCUCCUAGCCGAGCAUACAAAGGAAGAAGGAGCUAGGUCUAUUUUCUUUUUCUUUUUAUGGUAAGGAUUUUUGGUAGUGGGCUUGGUUGGGUUUAAUUAGGCUUGACUUAAAACAAUUAGAACUUGGCCCAAUAACAAUCUUAAGCCCAAAAUCAAGUAAGUCCAAGCACUAAUACGAUACCAUUACCCACACUAAUAUUAUUGCUUGUAACAAACAGCAGCAGCUAUAAAAGUAACGUGACUGAAAAUUAAAUACCAAUUAAGAAAAUAACCCCUAGUCAUCGCAAUACUAUCAAAAUAAUAUUAAUAAUUACUCACUUGAUUUCUGGGUAUUAUAGAUUUUAAAGCCUAAAAAUCUCCAACAAGAGAGGAAACAAUAUAAAUACUCUAAAUCAUCUAUUUGAACCAAUUAAACAAAGUUUCUUGAGCUUUGAUGGUUGCUUACAAAGAGUUGCAUCCUCAUCAAGCCAAAAUCACUACAAUCAGCAAUUAAAGGUGAGAUUAUGAUAUUUCUACGAAAAUAGAAAGAAAGUUAAAAAAAAAACGGUGGGAAAAAAAAGCUAAAAAUGGUAAAAAGAAAGUUUGUGAUUAAUGAAGCAAGCUAUUGUAGUUAAAAGAGAAUAUGAAAAUCUACUACUUAACCACUUACAAGGAUAAGAUAUUUUCAGUGUUCCAAAAUUUUGAUCUUCUCCAGACAGUUUUCCAUGUGUUGAGUAACAUCGGCUGAGAGACAUGCUCCAACGGCAAGCUUAUAAUGUUCAAAUUUCACCUCCUCACACUUCAAUGCAGCAUUCUUACAGGCCCUGAUGCUCCCUACCAUACAAAAAGAAAAUGCCCCUUCAUUCUCACAACAACAUAGAAAUAGAUGAAGUUCAGAAUUCACUGUUCCAAAAUCAAUAAAUGUGGUAAUAGCUGCCACAAUGAGUUUAAUGAGUUUUUGAUGAGACAAUCCACCAUGUAAUAUGAAAAUUAUUCAAUUCACAUAACUGCUCGCCCAUUCAAGAAAAAAAAAUUUAAAAAUUAGUACACAUGGAGCUCAUUAGAAUAUCUAUUUCAAACUAAUUUAUGUAAAGCCCCAUAGAAUUGAACAGCACAACUGCAAAUUUGCAUGCAAAAUAUUGGAGAACUUACUGCAGACGAUCCUGCAUAUGCUUUGCAGCAAAAUGUAGCAACAAAGAAAACGAACUUCAAGAAGCAUGGUCGUACAAAGGAAAAUUUACAAAUAUCUUCUCAGUUAGAUAACAAUGCUGAUGCUUUAAACAUAUUAAAAUACUUCUAUAAAACAAAAUCACAUUGAAGAAUUCAAAACUUUGUUCUCACUAUCUUUUUCCCUCAAAUUAACCACGAAAGUAAACUAUUUAGAGUUGUAUGAACUCACCACUUAGGUCCAGUACGUUAAAUAGAACCAGGCAAUUUCCUAUGCUUCUAACCAUGGUAAUUGCAGACCAAACCUUCUGACAAUCCUCCCUUGAGGCUCUGAUGAUACAUAGCUUGGUGAUGGGAUUCACAUACUUGACUAUACACACAAAAUAGAUGUUCAAAGAUAAGAAACCAGGAAAAUGUCUUAAAAGUUUUAAGGGGAAAUUUGUGCCGAACAAACAAGGACUGGUGACAUCUCACAUACCUUGGAAUGAUCCAAGCAAAGAAGCUAGACCACACUCGCCGAAGUUUACAAGAAUGCUGUCUCUAAUUGCUUUCGACACAUUAAAUUGGGUAAGUAUAACAGGAUCAUCCACGGGAAGCUCUUUAUUUGGGUCCAAAAAUACCUCCACUACCAUAUACCUAUUUUUAAAUCCAACCAUGAUCCUUUAUCUGUACAGAAACCCAAUGUUGUCAGUUAAAGCAAUACCUCAUUAAGAUGGACAAUUUGCUCAAUAAUAGAUUACUUCAUUAAACAUCUGAAAUUAAAGAGUAAUGUUUCCAGAUCUAUGUAAUUUCGGAUGUAAUUGAAAGUCCAUGUGGCAAUGGGCACAAAACAGCAAUCCAUUUGGAAGCAAUGAAUUUGGUCGGUUCUAUGACAUUUAAAGUCUCAUAGAUUGCCUAACAAAUAACCAAAAAAAAAAAAAAUUCUUAUGCAGAUAAUUAAUCGGAAAUAGUAAGUUUGAAUCGGAGCCCAGAGAAUCUCCAAGAAGUUUUCUUGGGGCUGCACAAUGAUGGUAAGUCAUGUUUGUUGUAAUCAUAACUUAAUAUGUUGUAUCAAACUCUCUUGAGAAUCCAACAAUUACCAGAAUCAUAACUAAUACAAAGUUUUAUAUAGAACGUUUUUCAAGGUAUGUAAUGACAGCUUUUUAGAGGUACUGCAAUUACCACUAUCAUCACACAAUUACAAUUGUUUACUAAGAAGACAAUCGACAUUUAUUUUAAACAUCUCUAUGCGCCAUCUUCAAGAAACAGUGAACUUAUUUUCCUUUUAUCACAUAUUUAUAAACAGAACAUAUCACAAAAAAAAUACAUAUUAAAGAACCUCGCCUUGAAUGAAUGAAGACAAAGAAAACUCUGUACUUUCUUGUAUUUAAAAGAAAGUACAACUAUGUACUCUUUAUUGGGUAAUGAUAUCUAAGAUAGCAGACUUCUGAUUCCUUCAUUUUUCUGAUCGUAAGUGUUAGAAAAGACUUUCUAUACUAAAAUUUUUCAAAAUAAAGAGUUUGCCAUAGGACUAGGCAGUUUGGGUUCGGUUUGGUUUAACCAAACCAAUCAAAAAUCAAUCAGUUUGAAAGAUUUCAAACCAAACCGAAUUAACAUCAGUACAUCCAAGUCAAAUGAAUUUGGUUUUUGGUAAAGAGAUGAAAAUCAGUCCCACUGGCAAUGAAGAAACAGAUAAAAGCAAAAAGCACAAGCACAAAAUUGAGAUCUUGGAAUCUCACAACCACCAUCAAUCUAGAUUAUGUGGUAGAUGAAACACUAAAAAGCUAAAGAAAUCGAAAAAAGAAAAAAGAACAAGAACAGUAGGGUUGGCAAUUUACGGGCCUGGGCCUGCCCAUCCCUUGAGCGGGCUGGGCGCUUUUAUUUUUUUAUUAUAAAUUUUUAAUAAAGCUAUAAACAUUUAAAAAAAAAAACCUUAAAUUAUAGAUGAUUAUCCAAUGCACAAAACACUUGCAACACGACAGAAUAAGCUAUAAUUACUAAUUAAAAAAAAACCUAAUCCAACAUACCAGUAUACCACCAAAAUUAGAGCAUGUAACAAUUUGCCAGCAAAGUUUCUUUCUGUUAAAUUAUAAAUACUACAAUUUCAAAUUUGUUGAAAAUCUAAAUGCAUAAACAUGUAAUGCAAUUUAAAAAUCGACAUUGAUGCUUCCUAAUCAAAUUGUAACUUGAUUGUGAAGAUGGAUUAUUGAAAAAUUAAUACAGAAAUUAAUAUGUAUAUAAUAAUUAACCAAAUUGUAACUUUAUAAAUUAUAAUCACAUUAAUAUUUAUUGCAAAAUUAAUACAGAAAUUAAUAUGUAUACAAUAAAAAUUAAUACAGAAAUUAACCAAUAUUGGAACUUUAUAAUCACAUUAAUAUGUAUGUAUAUAUAGAUUCAAAUUUAAUACAGAAUUUUAUUUUCUACAAGAAAUGAAAAAAUCGAAAGUGGGGCUGAUUUCUACCUCAAAGAUCACGUGGGCAUGGUGUGUUCAAGGCAGAGUGGGUUCGCUGCUGCUGGCAUCCCUGCGCAGUCGCUUCUGGUGCUAGGUUCAACGCGUAUUGGUGCUCGCGACUCGCGUGACUAGCUGGCUGCCUGCUGGGUGCCGGGCUCGCGACUCGAGGUGCAGCGUGCUGGGCUUGCGAAGAUCGGCGGUGAUGAUGGCUGCGAGUGAGGACUGAGGGUGUGGCUGUCGGCUGUCGGCUGUCGAGGCACGGUCGGCACCUGGUGUGUGGUGUCUGCAAUGUUUGUUCUACUUCUUUUGUUUAACUUAGUGUUACUGCUUACCAAGUUAGGAAGAAUAGGUUACAGGGUGUUUUCACUUUUGUUUUUGUGUUUUUUUUUUUUCUUUUUUUAAUUUGAUUUUUUUUUUAAAUUUAUAUAUAAUAAAGUCUGGGCUUGUCCCGGGAUUUUACAUCAGCCCCAUAAGCAGGCCCACUAUGUGAGGGCCUUAAUUUUUUAGUCCAUAUCCUUUAUUUUAAGCAAUGGCCUGGGCUUAAGGCCGAGCUUUGUUUUUUUUCCUCUCUCUCUCUCUCUCUCUCUCUCUCUCUCUCUCUCUCAAGCCUAACUAUCGAACGCAAAGGCAACAAUUGUUUAAACAUAUUUAUUUAAACACAACCACUCAAAUGAACACUUAGUAAACAAAUCCUCAAUACACCAUUUAACCUCCCAAAAUCCCAGACUCAAGCCCCAUGUGCGCGAAACCAAAACGGCCACAAAAGCCUCCAAUCCUAUCCCGACUCAGCCGAUAACUCACUCCCCUCGAACCCACAGAACACGCUCAACCUCAACUCACUCCCCUCGCAUUCCAACCAGCCCAUCUUAUCCCAACCCCAGGACCAGAACCAAGUAGCUACGACGGUAGCAAACUCUGAGUCAUUUCAAACAAAAUCAUUUUCUUUAAGUUGGUUCAGUCAUACAUGUAAAAUCGACAAAUAAACAAAAAAAAAAAAAAAAACUUUCUUGCUUACGCAAGUCAGCAACGAUGAGGAUAUGACAUAAGGCAGUAGCGAAUGACAAGUUGAUGACGAGGAUAGAACGGAAGGAAGCAGCGAAUGGCGAGUUGGCAGUGUGUGCAGGAUGGGCCGAUGGCGACGGACAUCUACCGUUUGCGAUUUUAUGCGAAUCUCCAAGUGCAAGGUGAGUGAGUAAAGGUGGCCAACAGGCCGUGCCAUGCCGGCCUAGGCCCAUUAAAGAAAAGCCCACACGUGCACGCAUUCGUGCUUGUGUCAUGCCGUGCUCAUUAUGCGUUUCGUGUUGUGCUGUGUCAUGUCUAAUUUUUUUUGUCUAGGCCCAGCUCAACACAUAUGUUGUGCUCACACAUGUCGUGCUGUGGGUCAUGCCGUGCCUAGGAAAAAAAAAACACACUAAGCUUUUUUAUUUUUUUAAGGAGUGUUGCUAUUUACCCCGAAUUUGCACCCUGAAUUUACACCCUGAGAUCAAAACGCACCGUUUGCUCUGAGUUAAUCACGUGUCCAUUAUCUUGCUUUAUAUAAAGGAAAGGAAAAAGCUGGGGAAAGAAAAAGCAAAAGCAAAGCUGUUUCUUCACGUGUUUCUUCAGUAAAUGUAUGGGCCUAACUAGAAAAUUUGUUGUGUCCAGCUGUGGUCCGCUUAUUUUACUUUACUUUGCUUUGCUAUUUCCUUCCUUGUUUGUUAUUUCCUUCUUCUUUGUUAUUUCCUUCUUUGUAUCAGUUGAUGAUACAUGCAUCAAACACAAUAAUAAAAAUUGAACGAGAGCAAGAGAACGAACCAUCGAUCAAGAGUUGAGGGAACGGGGGGGGGGGGGGGGGAAGAGAUUGAAUUAAGACGCAAGUGGCGUGGUUGAGUGGAUUUGAAACCAAAAAUGGAAUGAAAUCAUCCUGACUUAACAAACGAAUCUGCCUGAAGAAAAAGAGUGCUGCUAACUGGAAAGAGAAAUGGAAAGUGAAAGCAAAAUGUUUACCUUGCUUUACGGGCCUAACUAGAGAAGUGGGAAGUGAAAGCAAGGAAGUGGAAAGUGAAGGCAAAAUGAAGCAACACGUGUGGAGAGAAAAAAGUAAACGAUGCGUUUUGAUUUCGGGGCGCAGAUUCGGGGAUUAAAUUCGGGGUAAAUAACUUUUUCAUUUUUUAAGAGCGUAUAACAAAUUAUUGCCUUAUUUUUUUUUUAAGCCCAUGUACUUUUUUUUAUCCAAUCUUUAUUAAAAUUUAAUACAAUCAAAAAUUCAAAAUUCAAGUCCAUAUUCAAUAAUAAUAAGAGAUCACUAAAUUUGACUCUAUGGUAUUAUAAUUCUUUUUUAGUACUUAACAACAACAAUAAUAAUAACUUUUUUUUAAGGAUUAACUUAAUUGUUAACUUAGAAUUACGUAGAAUCAUAUAUCAUAAUUUAUAAUAAUAUUAAUACAUAUUUAUAAAAUCAUGAUAUUUAUAAUUUUAUUUACUAUAAUCAUAAUAUCAAUUAUUUAUUUAAUAAAUUAUAAACAUAAAUCAAUUAUAAUUUUUUUGAAACUAAGAAUUAAAUAAAUCUAAAAAACUUGAGCUAAUAUAAUAUAUUAAAAGAUUCAAUUUCAAGUCAUUUAUAAAAUCAUAAAAUUUUAAGUAUACUUUUAUUAAAAAAUGAAACGUGUUUUUUCGCGUGCCGUGUUUUAACGCAUCUCUAAUAGUGCAGUGCUUUUAAGGCACAUGUGCCUAAAAAUCUAAGCUCGGCCUCAGCCCACGUGCGUGCUGUGCUGCUUGCUCUACUGAAACGUGCUCGUGCCGUACCAUACCUCGUGUCUCGUGUCGUCUGGCUCAUUGACCACCUCUAAAAGUGAGUUUAAGAGAAAAGUUAGGGCUUUGAUUCUGAUUUUUUCAUUUGUCUCUUAGAUCCAGGACUUCUAAUUUAGUGAAUCCAAAUAUAUUUUCAAUUUUCUUUUUAAUGGAUAAAAUCAGUUGGUUUUUCAAAACGACCGAACAUAAAAUUUCGGUUUGCUAGAUAUGCAAACAAAUGAAAAAAGCACAUAUGAAAAAAUUAACAACUAACUUUUCAAGGCAACAACAAAGAUUCACUCAAUAAGCAACACAGAAAGUAACUUAUGCACAAACAAAUCAAACAAUCAAUUCUUUACAAGUCAAUCUUAAGGCCACAGUUAAAUAUAUCACGAAAGAACCACAACAAUUAAUUUCAGUACUAAUAAUAACUAAUUGCAAACUAGUCUUAAGGUUUCAAUUAUAAUAUAUAUAUAUAUAUUUUCCUAAAAAAUAAUUUUCUCAUACACUAACUAAAAAAUAAUUUUCUCAUACACUAAUGAGGUAUUUGCAAACUCUUUUUUUUUUUUUUUUUUGUCAAACUUUGAUUAUUUACAAACUAAUUUCAACUAAUUAUUUUGUUGUUUCCAAUAAAUCAUAAGACAUAAUUAAGAAUAUAAAAUAUAACUUUUUUUUUUGGGCUUCUAGCGAUAUGAGGAUGGCCAAGGAUACGACUACAGAGGUACGGUGAUAGAAGACUAGCGGUGGAGUUGAUGCAAGGGAGUGGCGACUAAGGUUGGCAUUAGGGUUUUUCAUCUCUUGUUUACACAUGCAGAUUGUUGCGGGCAUAAGUAUGGUGUUAUCGUGAAUCUACCUAUUAGGGGUGUACAUUUCGGUUUUCAAUUUGGUUUUUCUAAUUUUCGGUUCCAUUUGAAACAUGUUCGGUUUAAGAAUUCAACCCAAACAGGUUGAAAAUUUAUUUUGGAUUGGUUCGGUUUGGAUUCAUAAUUCAAUUCAGGUUCGAGUUGUUAAUUUGGGUUACAAAAAAGGGCUUGGGUUAUUAGUUCAGGUCAGGUUACUAAUUUGGGUUACAUCAACCACUAUUAAGAAACAAGGUAAACACCAAAUGAUGAAAAAUAUUCGGAUACUAAGACAACAAAUACAAAAUAUUCAGCAACAAAGUAUAACAACAAAGAAAACAACUUCAAGGUCAUGAAUUUAUUCCAAAAAAAUAAAAACAAAUAUAAAUUAUUAGAUAAAUAAAACCAUCUCUAUUUCUCCAUCAACAACAUUUCUCUAUCAACAAACAAAUCACUCUCUGCAAAAAGUUUCGUAUGCCUUUCUAAAGUUCCAAAUAAUGCCUUCAUCAACAUUCACACAACAUUAAAACUUAAGAAAGAUACUGUAAUGAUAUUGAAAUGAUAAAACUGAUCGGAAUUUAAAGAGAAAGUGGUAGUACCAAUGAAUCUUAUCAAAAACAAGAUAACAAGAUAAAAAGAGCUACUGGAAUCAUUCUGUUGCUUGCAAGCUCCUUAAAAUUACAUUUAUUACUUUAUGUUGAAUCAUGAAACUGAACACAAUAAAUUGCCAAUUCUAACGCAUUGACUUGACUCUAUGGUUGGAAAUCUAAACAACCAUAGUUUCAAAUUAAAAAUAUUUACUUUCAUUUUCAAAGGUCUCUUGGCUAGCAGAAAUUACCUAGAAAAGAAGAUACGUUGUGUGAGAAAAAUCUGUCAAGGACUCGUGUUAAGGAAAUACUUCAAAUGGUAAGGGUUACUUCACUUUUCUUCUGCUUUUAGUGCCCUAAAUGAUGAACCUGUUGUCUCACCAUGUCAGUACUGGUAGAGGCCUAACUGAAUGGGGAGAGAGAUUCAACUUGACACCUCAAGCAGUUAAGACAUUACUUCCUAGAUAAUGAAUUCACUUCCAAUUGUCUAACGUUUUAUACAAUUAUGAAUAAUUAUGAACAAAACUCAUACAGAUAACAGAUGAGCAUAAUUAAUAAAUCGUAAAUUAGAUCUUUAAAUUAUUAAUUCAUAAAUUAGAACUCAUGAAAGCGUGAGUAAUCAACACUCAUAUCAUAUCAAGUUCUUUUUAUCACUUAAAUUACCGUGAAGAGCUGACAACCAGCUGCAACAAAUGGAGGCUGUGCUGGUUGUCGUGCCGUCGUGGAGGUAGCCAGCGGCCAGAUUUGAGAGAGGAAGAGUCGAGGAGAUGCUGGCUGUUUGGGUUUGUUUUGUGACUUUGGCAAAUUGUUAUUUUUCAAUUGGGGUCGGGUUGCACUGUAACUGUUGGACCUUUUUAUUUUUUUUCCAAUGCUAGCGUGAUUUUUACUGUUGAUCGGUUGACCCGAAGAGAAUUGCAAAACCAUCGGUUUUAAGAUUUCAAUCCGUUCAAAAUUUAGAAUUAAUCUAAACUGAAUUGGAAAUGAAUAAACAUUUAAAUUCGGUUCAGUUCGAAUUGAUUUAAACCGAACGCUCACCUUUACGUGUAAGAGAUUGUCACGCUUGUACAUUUCAAAUUGUUAUAGUGACAGUGACAACGUGUAAAAUGUGUCCAUGUGUACGUUGCAUCGUGACAAGACGAGAAAGAGAGCCGUUAGAGAAGGAACCGUUGGUUUUGGUUUGAUUAGAAUAUGAUAAUCUCCUGAUUUGAGUUCUACUGAGUUUUUAAAAGUCUUCUAUCAUGUAUUUUUUUUUGUGGUGGUGCAUGAGUAAAAUUUAACUUUUUUAUUUUUUUAUUUAUUAACUACGACGCGACUCACGCAUGGACACGUUUUACACAUUGUCACCAUCGCUAUAACAAUUUGAAACGUAAAAGUGUGGCAAUCUCUUACACAUAGAAGUAAGCAUUCGGUUCAAAUCAAUCUGAACUGAACCAAAUUUAAAUUUUUAUUCGUUUCCGAUUCGGUUCAGAUUAAUUCUAAAUGUUGAACGGAUUGAAUUCUCAAAACCGAUUGUUUUGCAAUUCUCUUCGGGUCAACCGGUCAACAGUAAAAAUCACGUUAGUAUUGGGGAAAAAAAAAAAAAAGGCCCAACCGUUACAAUGCAACCCGACCCCAAUUGACAAAUAACAAUUUCCCAAAGUCACAAAACAAACCUGAACAACCAGCAUCUCCUUGACUCUUCCUCUCUCAAAUCUGGCCGCCGGCUGCCUCCACGAAGGCACGACAACCAGCACAGCCUCCCGUUUGUUGCAACUGGUCAUCAGCUCUUCACGGUAAUUUAAGUGAUAAAAAGAACUUGAUAUGAUAUGAGUGUUGAUUAAUUACGCUAUCAUGAGUUCUAAUUUACGAAUUAAUAAUUUAAAGAUCUAAUUUACGAUUUAUUAAUUAUGCUCAUCUGUCAUCUGUAUGAGUUUUGUUCAUAAUUAUUCAUAAUUGUAUAAAACGUUAGACAAUUGGAAGUGAAUCUUUCUCCCCAUUCAAUUAGGCCUCUGUCAGUACUGACAUGGUGAGAAAAUGGGUUCAUCAUUUAGGCCAUUAAAAGUAGAAGAAAAGUGAAGUAACUCUUACCAUUUGAAGUAUUUCCUUAACACGAGUCCUUGACAUAUUUUUCUCACACAACGUACCUUCUUUUCUAGGUAAUUUCUGCUAGCCAAGAGACCUUUGAAAAUGAAAGUAAAUAUUUUGAAUUUGAAACCAUGGUUGUUUAGAUUUCCAGCCAUAGACUCAAGUCAAUGCGUUCAGAAUUGGCAAUUUAUUGCGUUUAGUUUCAUGAGUCAACAUAAAGCAAUAAAUGUAAUUUUAAGGAACUUGCAAGCAGCAUAAUAAUUCCAGUAGCUCUUCUUAUCUUGUUAUCUUGUUUUUUAUAAGAUUCAUUGGUACUACCACUUUCUCUGUAAAUUCUGAUAAGUUUUAUCAUUGCAGUAUCAUUAAAAUCUCGAUGUACGAGUGGAGUUAAUUUGUAUGUUCUUAGCGGGUGUAACGAUGUUAUUAUAAUAUUUCAACAACACUAAUUCCUCAAAUUUAUUAAUGGGAAAUUAUGUCUUUACUGCCGGCCUAAACAUUUGAAUUAUGACAUAAUAAUAUAAUCUAAAUAGGGUAUGAAAGACUUCCAUUAAAAAUAUUAGUAGCUUACAAAUAAACAUAACAUAUAAAACAACUAAAAUAAUUUUUUUAAACAGCAAUUUCAGUUUAUUUAAAACAUCAAAAGUAGCUUCUAAUAACAUCCUAUUUCACAAAACAUCAAAGAUUUAUUUAAUAAUUUAUUAUUUUAGAAGGAAGGAUAUUUUAGUAAUUUUAAUAGUCCACUAACGGUCAACUCAGACAAUAGCUAACUCAGAUAAUAGCUAACGGCAAGGGACAUGUUUGUAAUUAAAUCAAUACAUUCUAUAUAAGUGUUAAUACGCCACUUCAAAGGAGGUCCCUAAAAAUUACUGCAAUUUUUUUUUUUAACUAUUUAGUAAAAAAAGAGGCCAAGCGGUGGAGCAUUUUCUUAGCAUUCUCAGUGUCAGGAUCAGUAACAUGAAAAACAUGAUCCUCUCCCUCCACUUCAAAAAACUCCACUUCUCCUCCGAACCCACUUCCCUUAACAGCAUCAACAUACAAAACAUCUCUGUCUCUCAGCCGAUCCUUCCCAGCAACACAGACCAGCAUCCUCGAACAAGCAAGCUUAGCCAAACUCGGCUUACCUGAACCAACAGGAUUGAUCAUCGGAUUAUCAAUACCACCAGGCGCCGCUGGAUAGACAAAUUCCCAAAUCAAAUAUUCCAAACACUUCUUCUGAUCAUAAUUAUCACUACCAUCUGAUUCUGAACCGACUGGAAUGGAGCCCCAGAAGUAAGGAUGCCCUAGAAAUGCUCCUAAAAUCCGAACACCAGUACCCUCCUUCAAUAAAGACUCUUGAUCAUCAUCACCCGCUUUCAUAGCUAUGUUAUGAACUAUAUUGCCUCCGGAGCUGUCACCACCAAUAAAGAAUCUCUCAAAAUCUCCGUGGUUUAAUAACCAGGGCUCCUUGUUAUUAAUAAUAUUGGAGUGUUUUGAUGAUCAGGAUCAUGAUGAUUGAUACUGUUACGGUUACGAUGAGAAGCGACCCAUUGAAAGGCAGCCCAGCAGUCUUCAUAUGCUGCGGGAAGAAGGUGUUCUGGGGCGAGCCUGUAUUCAAUGGAGACUGCGAGUACUUGAGACUGAGAGACCAAGGUGUUGAGGUAUCUGUGCUGAAGAAAUGAGAAAGCAGACUCGAUGCAGAAGGCGCUGCCGUGGAAGUAGACCAAAAUGGCGAGUUUUUGAUGGGGCUGGGUGAGUUUUGGGAGGUAGAGGCGAGCGGAUAUGGCGGGGUUUUGAGAGAUGGUUAUGUCUUUUGAUGAGACCCCGAAUUGAGGAUCCGGGUCAAGCGUUGGAGGCACGUAGGCUGAAUCCAUCAGCCGCUCAACUGACCCAUCUUUGAAGACUCUGAUCAGU